AUAUAGAAAAGAAAGAAGGCAUGUUUAAAAUAAUUUUUCAAAUUUUCCACUGUAGACAUUUUGUUAAUUAAUUUUGGGAAGAAUGGCCCAGAAAUCUGCAUUUCUUUAUUUUGCAGCUAAACCAGAAAAGCCAGCCGGAAAAGCAGAAGUUAAACCAGAAAAGGUGGAAAAGAAAGAAGUUAAACCAGACAAAAUACCAAAGAAAGAAGGUAUGUUUGACAUUAUUUUGUUCAUUUUUGUAACCUGGUUAUUUUAAGACUGUGCUGUAAAGAGCUUUAACUUUUCUUGGCUGUAUCAGUGCAAGGCCCAUGCCAACCCUGAAUGAAAAGCCAGUCCUGUUCAGGACACACAUCACUCAUCUACACAAGGAGAGAACACCUAUGUGAACAAUUAAAUAAAAUGCAAACACCAUCAAGUGUGUUUUCACAGGCUGGGAUGCUGCACUGGUCCUAGCUAGCUAGCUACUGGGGACACGAAGCAGGAUUUCAAUUUACUCCCUCAACAGUUCAAUUAUUACUAAAAUACCCUUUAAAAUCAAUAACGUAUUAGCUAUGGCCAAU